UCUGUAUUCCAUCCGUCCCAAAAUUCUUAUCUUAGAUUUUUCUAAAUACGGAUGUAUCAAGUCACGUUUUAGUAUUAGGUACAUCCGUAUCUACACAAAUUUAAGACAAGAAUUUCAGGACGGAGUAGUUU
rfam:Triticum aestivum genome assembly, contig: Triticum_aestivum_CS42_TGACv1_scaffold_557627_7AL